GAUGAAGAACGCAGCAAAAUGCGAUAAGUAAUGUGAAUUGCAGAAUUCAGUGAAUCAUCGAAUCUUUGAACGCACAUUGCGCCCGCCAGUAUUCUGGCGGGCAUGCCUGUUCGAGCGUCAUUUCACCACUCAAGCCUCGCUUGGUAUUGGGCAUCGCGGUCCGCCGCGCGCCUCAAAUCGACCGGCUGGGUCUUCUGUCCCCUAAGCGUUGUGGAAACUAUUCGCUAAAGGGUGUUCGGGAGGCUACGCCGUAAAACAACCCCAUUUCUAAGGUUGACCUCGGAUCAGGUGGGGAUACCCGCUGAACUUAAGCAUAUCAAUAAGCGGAGGA
rnacentral:misc_RNA from 1 species